GCUGGGUGUGGUGGCACACACCUGUAGUCCUAGCUACUCAGGAGGCUGAAGUGAGAGGAUUACUUGAGCCCAGGAGUUCAGGGCUGCAGUGAGCUAUGGUCAUGCCACUGCGCUCCAGCCUGGGCAACAAAGCAAGACCCUACCUCUA
ensembl:misc_RNA Metazoa_SRP Metazoan signal recognition particle RNA